AGAGUUUGAUCCUGGCUCAGGAUGAACGCUGGCGGUCUGCUUAACACAUGCAAGUCGAACGGAAGUAGCAAUACUUUAGUGGCGGACGGGUGAGUAACGCGUGAGAAUCUACCUUCAGGACGGAGACAACAGUUGGAAACGACUGCUAACCCCCGAUGUACCGCAAGGGCAAAUAUUUAUAGCCUGAAGAAGAGCUCGCGUCCGAUUAGCUAGUUGGGGGGGUAAAAGCCCACCAAGGCGACGAUCGGUAGCUGGUCUGAGAGGACAACCAGCCACACUGGGACUGAGACACGGCCCAGACUCCUACGGGAGGCAGCAGUGGGGAAUUUUCCGCAAUGGGCGCAAGCCUGACGGAGCAAUACCGCGUGAGGGAAGAAGGCUCUUGGGUCGUAAACCUCUUUUGUCAGGGAAGAAGCAAGUGACGGUACCUGACGAAUCAGCCUCGGCUAACUCCGUGCCAGCAGCCGCGGUAAUACGGAGGAGGCAAGCGUUAUCCGGAAUUAUUGGGCGUAAAGCGUCCGCAGGUGGCCGUUCAAGUCGGCGGUCAAAGACUGGGGCUCAACUCCGGAAAGGCCGUGGAAACUGAAAGGCUAGAGGGCAGUAGGGGUAGAGGGAAUUCCCGGUGUAGCGGUGAAAUGCGUAGAGAUCGGGAAGAACAUCGGUGGCGAAAGCGCUCUGCUGGACUGCAACUGACACUGAGGGACGAAAGCUAGGGGAGCGAAUGGGAUUAGAUACCCCAGUAGUCCUAGCCGUAAACGAUGGAUACUAGGUGUGGCUUGUAUCGACCCGAGCCGUGCCGGAGCUAACGCGUUAAGUAUCCCGCCUGGGGAGUACGCACGCAAGUGUGAAACUCAAAGGAAUUGACGGGGGCCCGCACAAGCGGUGGAGUAUGUGGUUUAAUUCGAUGCAACGCGAAGAACCUUACCAGGGCUUGACAUGUCCGGAAUUCUGGGGAAACCCACGAGUGCCUUCGGGAGCCGGAACACAGGUGGUGCAUGGCUGUCGUCAGCUCGUGUCGUGAGAUGUUGGGUUAAGUCCCGCAACGAGCGCAACCCUCGUUCUUAGUUGCCAGCCUUAAGUGGGGCACUCUAGGAAGACUGCCGGUGACAAACCGGAGGAAGGUGGGGAUGACGUCAAGUCAGCAUGCCCCUUACGUCCUGGGCUACACACGUGCUACAAUGGGCGGGACAG
rnacentral:rRNA from 1 species